rnacentral:rRNA from 1 species
CCUACGGGGGGCUGCAGUGGGGAAUAUUGGACAAUGGGCGAAAGCCUGAUCCAGCCAUGCCGCGUGUGUGAAGAAGGCCUUCGGGUUGUAAAGCACUUUCAGUGGGGAAGAAAGCCUUGGGGCUAAUACCCUCGAGGAAGGACAUCACCCACAGAAGAAGCACCGGCUAACUCCGUGCCAGCAGCCGCGGUAAUACGGAGGGUGCGAGCGUUAAUCGGAAUUACUGGGCGUAAAGCGCGCGUAGGCGGUCUGAUAAGCCGGUUGUGAAAGCCCCGGGCUCAACCUGGGAACGGCAUCCGGAACUGUCAGGCUAGAGUGCGGGAGAGGAAGGUAGAAUUCCCGGUGUAGCGGUGAAAUGCGUAGAGAUCGGGAGGAAUACCAGUGGCGAAGGCGGCCUUCUGGACUGAAACUGACGCUGAGGUGCGAAAGCGUGGGUAGCAAACAGGAUUAGAUACCCUAGUAGUC